ACGGAGCGGUGUCCUUGCAGGCGGCGCCUCCCCGGGACCGCCAAUGCCCGGGCGCGGCGCUCGCGGAUUAUGCCUUGGCGGAGCCCAGGGGCACGCGCGGUUCGGCGGCGGCUGGGGCGGCUCGGCGGGGGUCCCGGCGUGGACACCUAGCAGGUGCCCUUUCCUCGCGGCGGACUGGGAGCGACUGGGAGGCAGGACCGCUGAACGGGCAUCCUGCAUCAGUCAGCGCACCUCUCCUUUCCGCGGUGCCUCCUUCCCAAGGCGUCCCACCUGAAAAGAAAAGCCUUUCCACGCAACCCAGAGAAGGACUGGGGGAAGAGCUCCAGGCUUGGGGUCAGAACACCAGAGGCGCCGCACCAGCUCUCCCACUUUCUAGCUACGGGAUGCUGAACAAGUCACAAGUCGCUUCGCCUCUCUGAACUGGAAGGAUGACAGUGCUCUGCUACCCCACUUCACGGCUGGAGGAUCAGACAAUGAUGGGGAUGCAGAGGAAGGAAGAAGUACAGUGACUUGAUCAAUAUCUUACAGCAUUAGGGGCAGAAUUUGUCCUAACCUUCUUGAUCCUUUCUUGUCAACCCCAAACAAGCAGAGAAUAUGAAGAAGUUGAAUGACCUAACAGGUUGCUUUGUCCACCUGAGAUUCUGGCAUGUAGACACCUCUUCCUGAGUCAGGCUUUGUACGUGGUCCUCUGGGGGCAGACAAGUAGGUAGGGGUGAGGCAUGAGAAAAUUGUCAUUCCUUUUCAAGGUACUUAACCUCAGAUGAAGUCACAAGGAUUUUUAAGCAAGGUGGGACCAGACUCGACAGAUGGGGAUGGAUGGGGCUGUUUCUGUAGCCAAGGGAGUUUUAGUGGUGUUUGCAGAUUUAAAGAA